rnacentral:lncRNA from 1 species
AGAGAAGGAAAGGAAAAUUAGGAAGAAAAGGGAAGAAACAAAGUUUCUACAUAAACUCAUUAUCAGGUAACACUAAAACCCCUUAAAACUCCAUGAAUAAGGAAGAAUUAAAGGUAGAAUGAUAAAUGUUAAUUAUAGUUUAUACCUUGUGGAUCAUUUCUUGUUUUACUACAUAUUCUUUUAUAUAUAUAUAUAUAUAUAUGGUUCCAUCAUAAAUUGUUGCCAAUAACACACACCUGACUUUGCACUUCUAUAUACAAUUGUCUUAAUUAUGUGUUUGCUUUAUAUUUCAAAUUAAUUGAGAUUUAUGCUUAUGAAUGUUUAUGAGGCCCAAUAUUCUGAAAUUCCUAAUUUACAAUUGUAUUGUUUUGCUGCCAUACUAACAUUUCAAAUGAUUGAAUUGAAUUAUAUGCUAUAACAGGUAAAUAGAAUUAGUAGCAUACUUGAGUUUAUUAUCUAUUAUUGGUGGUACCUAUAUUACUAUCAUUAUUAUUAUAGUAAAUGAAUGUCACUUUGAUAAUCAUGAUAUACGUAUACUAAUAUGUAUAUGUAAUAUUUCUACUAAACCUGUAAUUGAUGAACAGCUUUAAGCAUAUAUUUCUACUAAAGGCUAUUGUUUUAUUACACUAAACUAACAGCAUAUAUUCUCACAUUAGAGUUUAUAAAAAAAUUACAUAUUGUUCCUAGUUUUCUUUAUAUGAUGGACAUUGAAUAAAUGUUAUUUAUUAUGUUAUAUUUUGUUAUGUGAUGCUUAUACUUUUAUUUACUUAUAAUCAUAUCCAAUUAUGUUUAUUGUAAUGGGGUCUUUAAUCUGAUUAUGUUAACUGAUGAAGGGGAUCUUUAGAUCUAUUGACUGACCUGGGCACAGGCAACCGAAUUCUUAGUUACAUGAAGACGGGCUUAUCCCCAGAACAAAAAUGGGGUAAGACAUUCCUACGAACUCAGGGCACUGAGUGAGGGGCAGGCACCUCCAGCAGGC